rnacentral:lncRNA from 1 species
GAAGGAGCCGAUCCCUGUCCUCCCCACUGUGCAUUAUAACAUGGACGGCAUUCCCACCAGCUACGAGGGGCAGUGGUGUCAACCGCCUCGGGGCAAACUCGCUGUUGGACCUGGUUGUCUGGUCAGGCAUGUGCCCUGAGCAUCGCAGAGUCGUGCAGGCCUGGAGAUAAAGUCCCUCCAAUUAAACCAAAUGCUGGGGAAGAAUCUGUCACGAAUCUUGACAAAUUGAGAUUUGCUGAUGGAAGAAGCAUAAGAACAUCGGAACUGUGACUCAGCAUGCAGAAGGUAAGAGCCUGGACUCGCUCUGGAGUGAGCAGGCUAGCUGCAUACCUGGCCCUGCACUGGUUUUGUUUUUUUAAAAACAGAUCUAGGGGGAUGCAGGUGCAGUUUUGUGUGGAUGUACUGGGAAGUGGUGGAGUCUGGGCUUUUCAUGUACCCGUCACCCAAGUCGUGUGUGUUGUACUCAGCAGAUAAUUGCUCAUCCCCACCCCUCCCGCUUUUUGG